rnacentral:rRNA from 1 species
AGAGUUUGAUUAUGGCUCGGGAUGAACGCUGGCGGCGUGCUUAACACAUGCAAGUCGAACGGGAACUCUAGACUGAAGGUUCGCUGGAUGUUUAGAAAUUCUAGUGGCGGACGGGUGAGUAACGCGUGGGUAACCUGCCUAUAAGACGUGAACAACAGUUAGAAAUGACUGCUAAUACACGAUAAGCACACGAGUAUCGCAUGAUACAGUGUGAAAAGAAUUUCGCUUAUAGAUGGACCCGCGUUUGAUUAGCCAGUUGGUGGGGUAACGGCCUACCAAAGCGACGAUCAAUAGCCGGCCUGAGAGGGCGACCGGCCACAUUGGGACUGAGACACGGCCCAAACUCCUACGGGAGGCAGCAGUGGGGAAUAUUGGACAAUGGGGGCAACCCUGAUCCCAGCAACGCCGCGUGAGUGAUGAAGUAUCUUGGUAUGUAAAGCUCUAUCAGUAGGAACGAAAAUGACGGUACCUAACUAAGAAGCCCCGGCUAACUACGUGCCAGCCGCUGC